rnacentral:sRNA from 1 species
AUUUGUGCUGAUGAGUUUCCUGGAUCCUCAGCCACCUACCGAAUACUGGAGGUUGGCUGUGGUGUGGGAAACACAGUCUUUCCAAUUUUACAAACGAACAAAAAUUUCUAAGAAAAUGGCAAGUCCUAGUACUAACACUGAAGAAAAGAGAUUGUUCUACUCUUGAAGUUACAGUCUGAGGAACCCACCUCAAAUGGGAGAUUGACUUAGCUUCAAGUUAUGGCCAUUAAUCAUCAAUAUCAUCAAUGAAUGUAAAACUGAAUGUAGAUGGCAUCUUUGCCACAGCCUCUUUAUGCCAUUUAAAUAAGAUCACUGUGUUCAGUAUCUUACUAGAACCCACUUGUUCAUGUAAUUCACUGGCUUAGAAUUGGCAUGUUUUCUACUGCCUGUGAAUCAGGUUUAAAUUGUUGGGCAUAGUUUUCAAAGUCCUCUACAAGAGUGUGCCCUAUAAAGUAUGUCCUCUUA